AAUGAACGCUGGCGGCAUGGAUUAGGCAUGCAAGUCGAACGGUGAAGCGGGACUUGUCCCGUGGAUCAGUGGCGAAAGGGUGAGUAACACGUGAGCAACCUGCCCCUGUGUCCGGAAUAGCCUCUGGAAACGGAGAUUAAUACCGGAUGUGGAUGGGAGCCUCCUGGCUCCUUCUCUAAAGAUUUAUCGCACAGGGAUGGGCUCGCGUCCCAUUAGCUUGUUGGUGAGGUAACGGCUCACCAAGGCUUUGACGGGUAGGUGGUCUGAGAGGAUGGUCACCCACACUGGGACUGAGACACUGCCCAGACUCCUACGGGAGGCUGCAGUCGAGAAUCUUCCGCAAUGGGCGAAAGCCUGACGAGCAAUGCCGCGUGAGGGAGAAGGUUUUGGGUUGUAAACCCCUUUUGUCAAGGAAGAAGCUCUGACGGUACUUGACGAAUAAGCCUCGGCUAACUCCGUGCCAGCCG
rnacentral:rRNA from 1 species